AAUGAACGCUGGCGGCAGGCCUAACACAUGCAAGUCGAGCGAGCAGUUCGGUACUUGCGGCGGAUGGGUGUGUAACCCGUGGGAAGGUGCCCUUUUCUUCGGCCUAGCUCUGGGAAUCUGGGAACAAUACCGGAUGAGCCCUUUGGGGGAAAGAUUUAUUGGAGCAGGAUCGGCGCGCGUUGGAUACGGUAGUUCGUAGGGUAAUGGCCUAUUAAGCGGUCGAUCCAUAGCUGGUUUGGGAGGAUGCUCAGCCACACUGGGACUGAGACACGGCCCAGACUCCUACGGGAUGCAGCAGUGGGGAAUCUUAGACAAUGGGGGAAGCCCUGAUGGAGCCAGGCCGCGUGAGCGAUGAAGGCCUGAGAGUUGUAAAGCUCAUUCAGCUGGGAAGAUAAUGACGGUACCAGCAGAAGAAGCCCCGGCUAACUCCGUG
rnacentral:rRNA from 1 species